rnacentral:misc_RNA from 1 species
GUCGGUCCUUGGGUUCAAAUGCCAACAUUUUUUCCAACAAACGAAGUGCAAGGGGAUCUGCAUUAGGAAACUUCUGGGAGAAAGGAAUAGGCUUCUUCUUCCGCAUGCUGCUUAAGUAUCUUCGAGCUUUCUCAUUGCGCACCCUGGCAAUGGCUUCAGCUGAUGGUGUUCCCAACAGAUCAGUCAUUAGAUCCAGUUGAUGGACUACAUUUUUCCCAGGGAAAAGAGGUUUCCCUGUCAAAAGUUCAGCAAAGAUGCAUCCAAUGCUCCAUAUGUCUAUUGCUGGUGUAUACUUUGAGAAAAAUGAUCCACAUAAUUCAGGAGCCCUAUACCACCUUGUUGCAACAUAGUCUGUCCAGAAAAU